AUUUAUUUCUCCUGAAGAACAAGAAAAUAAUGAAUGUCUAUAAUUGUAAGUAAAUCAAAUAAUUAAGAAUCAUCUUCAUGCCGGAAAACAAAUUUCUUGUUUGUAUUUUUUCUAUACAACAAAUACAGCAAAAUUACAUUACGCACUCUGAAUAUCUCCCGUCAAAACACUUAAACAAACAACUCAAUUCACACAAGUAUGGAGGAAAAACUCUUGAAUGAUCAAUUGGAUCUACUGAAUGUACUAUAAACUAUACCAUGAACUUCCCAACUAGUAGGUAAAAUCUGUCAAGAGUCAACUCAUUAGGUAUUGCCCACUGAUGAACUCAUCAUUUGGAUCUUAUUCACAAGCAAGUUUACUUGCUCUCUAUACAUUUCUUUCAAGUCUACAAUAUCAGCACGAAGUUCCUCCAACUCCUCAUCACGUUCACCCAUUAACUCCAGCGCAGCUGAGUGCCUCCGCCUUAAUGCUUCUAGUUCUGCUCGAAUGCCAGGCAACAAGGCAGACUCUGCCCGCAACUUUUCACACUGUGCUGUCAUUUUGACCAACUCCUCUGCAAGAGAGUCACGGAUUGAUUCCAUAGAUGUCUGAAGCACAUAAAAGAGUAAAUAAUUGAUCAAGCUGAAUACGAAAUAGAAUGACAGGUUAUAUCCCCAUAAAUCUAUGGAAUUGUUCCAAUGUCUCAUAGCUCUAGACACCAGGCCCAUUAAGGACAAGAUAGCAUACAGCAAGAAUAUAUGUGGUGACAAAACAUAUGUCAAACACGGUUCAAAAGAAUAAAGCAUACCAAACGAGACAUGUAUGAUGCAAGUUCGCCCUCUUUCUGACGAAGAGCAGCUUCAAAAGCACUAGGUGUCAUACUCUUCAUGUAGUAUGGGCUCAUGGUUGCCCCUGCAGGGUUUCUUCUCUCAAAGAAACUGUCAGAUGUGUCCAAAGAUGCUUGCAGAAAAUAGCUCUCCUCCAUGCUGCCUAGGCUGCUAGCACUUGAGAACUUUCGGUUCAAGUUUCCAUUCUCAAAACCAGAAUUGCUCUUUGCUGUGGGAGUUUGAUCAGAUGCAGCAGUAGAAUGCAUACGAGCUGUCUUUUCCAGAUCCAAUCGAGCAGCUUUUUCCCUCUCAAUUUCCUGCUGUAGAAGCUCCCUGUGAAUCAGGGCAUCUUGUAACUCUUGCUUGUGUUUCUGCCUGAGUUCUUUAAUUUCUUCUUCUAGUUGGUUCACACGACCUUCUUGAGUGUCAGCCUCCUCCUUGGCUGCAAGGUAUUCCUGCCUAUUUUCAGCUGCUCUCUGUCUCUCUUUUUCAAGGGACUUACUUAACUGCGUCUGCUCUGCUCUAAGACAGGAAAUCUGAGCUUCCAGAACAUUAAUUCGAGAUAAGGUUUGUGACAAGCGUUCAUUCACAGAUCGCUCUCUUUCCUCAGCAGCUGCAGCUUUGGCCUCUGCUUCCUGGAGUCGAGAAUUUAGAGAUCUCUCCACAGCAGACCAAGCUUCAGCCCUUCUGGCCAUUGUUUCCUGCAUCGCUUCUAUCUGCCUUAGAAGAGGCCUUGUAGAUUCAGGUACUUGAGUAACCAAUUCCUCACACCGGCGCUCACUUGCUUGAUAACGCUUUUGAAGGUCUUCAAUGUCCCUACGAAGCAUGUCUUCUCUAAAAACAGCCUGCUGCUCCUUUCUACUCAAAGUUUGUCUUAAUUCUUCAAGUGCCUGAACUAGCAUAUUCUCACGCUCCCCGGCCUCUCUCAAACGACUCUCCAAUUCAGUUCUAGCUUCAUUAUUGGCACGUGCCUCUGCCAAUGCUUCAGCCUCCUUAGCUGCAGUCAAAGCAUUUGUAUAAUACUCUUUCUGUCCUGCAAGUUCUGCUUGGUGUUUUUCUAUUGUCUCUUGCAGCAACUUCUCUGUAGCUGUCUUGUCCUUCUUGAUACUCUCUACUUUAUUCUCUUCCACCUGAAGUUUGGUCAUCAAGCCUUUCUUCUCCUCUUCAAGCUCUCUAAUCUGAGCCCUCAAUUUCCUCAUUGUAGACUCUUGAGCAGCCUGCUUCUUUGAAAGCUCUUCACCUUCAGCCAUAACCUGAGUGAUAAUUUCAUCUUUUUCCUUCAAAAGAACAGCUGCAUCACUUUUCUUAUUCUGCUCUCUCCGGAGUGUAUCCCUUUCCUUCGUAAGAGCAUAAACCUUUCUUUCAAGGGUUGCAGCCCUUUGAUGGUAUUCCUCUCUUAAUGACUCAAUUUCAGCAUCAUUAGAUUUUCUCUUCAAAUUGUCAAUCACAGCUUUCAGAUGCUCAUUUUCAUUCAUCAACUUUGCAAUCUCAUCAGCCUUUGCCUGAGCUUGCCUUGCAGCACCUUGCAAUGCAGUUUCCAUCAUUUUCAUCUCCAUCCUCACCUUUUCUAAUUCAACCACUGAAUCUAAGGAGUCAGACACAUUUGAUGCUGAACUCAAGCGUUGCUCUUUAGUAUCAAUCUCACCAUCAUUGACUUGCCUGACCUCGCCAACUGUCUUGACAUUCACAUCAUUUUCAUCAGAAACUCUUUCAGGAACCAUAUCAGGAACCUCAUCUGAGGGAACUGCAGUAGGGAAAGAAAUUUCACGAGCUAUCUGUGUCUCUUCAGCACUGACUGGCGAACCAGAUUGAUUAACUGCAACUCCAGCUUGAGUAUCACUUGACGUCUCAAUUUGGGCAUCAUUUGGGAUUUCAGCCAGAACAGAAGAACCUUUUUCUAUAACCUCCUCUUUUUGCAUCUUAUGUUCAUCUUUGCUCUCAUGCCUAUCAAAAACUGUAUAUGACUCAUCAAGCACAACAGUAUCAUCCUCAUCCCGAUCAACUUGGACAAACCCUGUCUUGACCUCCAAUGACUCUGAAUUUUCAGCAGGCCCCACUUCUAAGAUCUCCUUCUGCAGACUGUCAACUGAAUCCACUGUCGUAACAUCAUGAAGAACAGGUUCACGAGGUUCAACAUCUACAGAUUGUGAUUCAGACUCGGGUUUGACUGGGUCUAAAAUCACAGCAUCAACUUUCUCUGCAAUCUCCGGAUGCUCUUCUUUUUCAUUUAUGAGCAAUUGAUUUUCUUUUUCAACUGUAGGUUGUUCGGUAGCAGAAUCUUGUGUCACAUUUUCGUCAACUGUAGAUGAUUUCUGAGCAGAUCCAAUUUUUGCUGAAGAUUCAGUACCCUCGCUUUUGUUUCCCAUAAAGGACAUAACAGGCCAUAGUCCUUCGCUGCUAGACUCGGACUUCUCCUCCAACCCAAGAGCGCUAUCAAAAUUCUUCUCGAUAUUCUUGACGCUCUCGCUUAGCUUAUUCACCGCACCAGCAAGAUCCGGGAAGUUCCCCAAGGAAACCUUCCCGCUAAACCAUGCCAUCUAUUAAGCGCAACCAAUUCAAGAACUCAAUCCAAUACUCACAUCAAUACCCCUUGAGUUGGGAUUCCAAGCAUAGCUGGGGUGUUUCCCUCCCUCUGUUUUUGGUUGAGCAAUUGAUAAUUUAUCUCGUAGUGAUUUUUAGGGAAGAGUCACAGAUGGUUAAGUUCGGUCUAGAAAUUGACAACCCCAAUUACAAGG
rnacentral:misc_RNA from 1 species